AGUGAACGCUGGCGGUAGACCUAACACAUGCAAGUCGAACGGCAGCACAGUAAGAGCUUGCUCUUACGGGUGGCGAGUGGCGGACGGGUGAGGAAUACAUCGGAAUCUACUUUUUCGUGGGGGAUAACGUAGGGAAACUUACGCUAAUACCGCAUACGACCUACGGGUGAAAGCAGGGGAUCUUCGGACCUUGCGCGAUUGAAUGAGCCGAUGUCGGAUUAGCUAGUUGGCGGGGUAAAGGCCCACCAAGGCGACGAUCCGUAGCUGGUCUGAGAGGAUUAUCAGCCACACUGGAACUGAGACACGGUCCAGACUCCUACGGGAGGCAGCAGUGGGGAAUAUUGGACAAUGGGCGCAAGCCUGAUCCAGCCAUACCGCGUGGGUGAAGAAGGCCUUCGGGUUGUAAAGCCCUUUUGUUGGGAAAGAAAAGCAGCAGGUUAAUACCCCGCUGUUCUGACGGUACCCAAAGAAUAAGCACCGGCUAACUUCGUG
rnacentral:rRNA from 1 species